rnacentral:rRNA from 1 species
AUUGAACGCUGGCGGCAGGCCUAACACAUGCAAGUCGAACGAGUGGCGGACGGGUGAGUAAUGUCUGGGAAACUGCCUGAUGGAGGGGGAUAACUACUGGAAAAGGUAGCUAAUACCGCAUACCCUCAGAUGUGCCCAGAUGGGCUUUGCUGGUUGGUGGGGGAACGGCUCACCAAGGCGACGAUCCCUAACUGGUAUGAGAGGAUGACCAGCCACACUGGAACUGAGACACGGUCCAGACUCCUACGGGAGGCAGCAGUGGGGAAUAUUGGACAAUGGGCGAAAGCCUGAUGCAGCCAUGCCGCGUGUAUGAUGAAGGCCUUCGGGUUGUAAAGUACUUUCAGCGGGGAGGCGGUACCCGCAGAAGAAGCACCGGCUAACUCCGUGCCAGCAGCCGCGGUAAUAC